rnacentral:lncRNA from 1 species
AGCUGUAUGAGUUUAUCUCAAAUCAUAAAGCUAGAGAACCGAAUGUAGAAACUAAUUCCUCUUGACUUCGGGGUCCGCCGCCGGAGCACCGCGGAACGCGGCUGGAGGCGGCGCGACGCUGCGCCCGUUACCGACACCGGGAUUCCAGCGCACAGCGCGGCGUGGGAUAAGAGGUCUGGAACAUCUUUGACCAAAACCUGUCAAAUGGAAACUUGCGUGGGCCAAGAGACUCUCUGGAAUCACAGGCCUGGCAAGAGGGAUAGUGGUUAGAGGAGGACAGGUUGUUGCCAUGGUAACAAAUUGUCAGAGUCAACCAGAGGGGAAACAAAUAAAGAGGGGUAUGUGAGAGGGAGGCA